AUGGAGAACGCUGCCUUCCUCUGGCACUCGCCGGCUCCGUCGCGUGUUCGCUUCUUCACUUGGCUGCUGACGCUGGAGAGGAUUCACACACGGGACAAUCUUCUCAAGAAGCACGUCAUCGAGCUAAGCGGGGUUGGCUGCCCUGCUUGCGUCGCCCCUCUCGAGACACCGGACCACCUGAUCUUUGGGUGUCCGUUUGCGCGUGAGUUCUGGGCUGCGCUGGGCCUCGACAGCUCCGGCAGUUCCGUGCGGGAGCUGCAUCUCUUUGACGUCUCCCCGGCGGUCGGCGACGCCUCGCCGGGUGCCUUCAUCCUCCUGUGCUGUUGGCACCUGUGGAAGCGGCGGAACGCGGUGGUGUUCCAGCGUGAGGUCAUGCCCCUGGCCGCCGUCAGGAAGGCGUGCCGAGACGACGCGGUCCUUUGGCGGGGGCGCUUCGGACCGAGCUAG
rnacentral:rRNA from 1 species